rnacentral:rRNA from 1 species
CCUACGGGAGGCAGCAGUGAGGAAUAUUGGUCAAUGGACGAGAGUCUGAACCAGCCAAGUAGCGUGAAGGAUGACUGCCCUAUGGGUUGUAAACUUCUUUUAUAUGGGAAUAAAAUGCUCCACGUGUGGGAUUUUGUAUGUACCAUAUGAAUAAGGAUCGGCUAACUCCGUGCCAGCAGCCGCGGUAAUACGGAGGAUCCGAGCGUUAUCCGGAUUUAUUGGGUUUAAAGGGAGCGUAGGCGGAUUGUUAAGUCAGUUGUGAAAGUUUGCGGCUCAACCGUAAAAGUGCAGUUGAAACUGGCAGUCUUGAGUGCAGUAGAGGUGGGCGGAAUUCGUGGUGUAGCGGUGAAAUGCUUAGAUAUCACGAAGAACUCCGAUUGCGAAGGCAGUUCACUGGACUGCAACUGACGCUGAGGCUCGAAAGUGUGGGUAUCAAACAGGAUUAGAUACCCCAGUAGUC